AUAUUACAUGGAUUUAUUGUGAAGGUGUAGGCUAUAUUACAUGGAUUUAUUGUGGAGGUGUAGGCUAUAUUACAUGGAUUUAUUGUGGAGGUGUAGGCUAUAUUACAUGGAUUUAUUGUGGAGGUGUAGGCUAUAUUACAUGGAUUUAUUGUGGAGGUGUAGACUAUAUUACAUGGAUUUAUUGUGGAGGUGUAGGCUAUAUUACAUGGAUUUAUUGUGGAGGUGUAGACUAUAUUACAUGGAUUUAUUGUGGAGGUGUAGGCUAUAUUACAUGGAUUUAUUGUGGAGGUGUAGACUAUAUUACAUGGAUUUAUUGUGGAGGUGUAGACUAUAUUACAUGGAUUUAUUGUGGAGGUGUAGGCUAUAUUACAUGGAUUUAUUGUGGAGGUGUAGACUAUAUUACAUGGAUUUAUUGUGAAGGUGUAGGCUAUAUUACAUGGAUUUAUUGUGGAGGUGUAGGCUAUAUUACAUGGAUUUAUUGUGGAGGUGUAGGCUAUAUUACAUGGAUUUAUUGUGGAGGUGUAGACUAUAUUACAUGGAUUUAUUGUGAAGGUGUAGGCUAUAUUACAUGGAUUUAUUGUGGAGGUGUAGACUAUAUUACAUGGAUUUAUUGUGAAGGUGUAGACUAUAUUACAUGGAUUUAUUAGACUUUAUGUAGAUGUUCCAAAGGUCUGCAUCAGUGGCUUGUAUGUGUGGAAACCAGGAGAUGCUACGUGUGUUUAUGUUAAUUAACGGUCAAUUACCGUGAGAACAACAGUUCUUUUGUUUGACGAUCAACAGCUGACAAAAUUUCCUGACCGCCACAGCCCUAGUUGUGAUGCAAAAUGCAUAUGCAUAGAAUUAAAAAGGUAUUGUUGGAUAUUAUUUAUACUGAUUAGACAGUUUUUUUUACGUGGACGAUACAUUGAAGAUAAUAUAAGACAGGUAGUGGAAACAAUAGUAACACUAUGAAACAUCUGGGAAACCAGGCCUGGCAUUCAUAGCUGACUUUGAAAAGGCUUUUGAUAAAGUACAACUGGAAUUUAUAUAUAAAUGCCUGGAAUAUUUCAAUUUUGGAGAAUACAUUUUUUUAAAUGUAUUAAACGAGGCAUGUCAGUUAAGAACAAAUUCUUAUUGACAAUGACGGCCUACCGGGAACAGUGGGUUAACUGCCUUGUUCAGGUGCAGAACGACAGAUUUUUACCUUGUCAGCUCGCUCUAACCACUAGGCUACCUGCCCCCUACCUGGGUUAAAGUUAUAUAUAAUAACCCUAGGUGGUAAAUAGUAAACAAUGGCUACGUCUCAGAAAGUAUUCAAUUGUCAAGAAGAGUAAAACAAGGUUGUCCACUAUCGGCAUAUCUAUUUAUUAUGGCCAUUGAAAUGUUAGCUGUUAAAAUCAGAUCCAACAAUAAUAUCAAGGGGCUAGAAAUCCAGGGCUUAAAAACAAAGAUAUCAUUGUAUGUUGAUGAUUCAUGUUUUCUUUUAAAUCCACAAUUUGGAUCAUUCCACAGCCUUAUAGAGGAUCUAGACACUUUUUGUAACCUCUCUGGAUUACAACCAAAUUAUGAUACGUGUACUACAUUACAUAUUGGAUCAUUACAAAAUACAACUUUUACAUUACCAAUAAAAUUGUCCAUUUUAUUUGGAACAGCAAGCCAGACAAAAUUAAACGGGCCUAUUUAUAUAAUGAAUAUGAAUUCGGAGGGCAGAAAUGAUUAAAUAUUAAAGCAUUAGACCUCUCACUAAAGGCAUCAGUCAUACACCAGUUAUACUUCAAUCCAAACUGGUUCUCCAGCACAUUAGUAAGAAUGUCUCAUCCCAUGUUCAAGAAUGGCCUUUUUCCUUUUAUUCAGAUUACCGCCUCUCACUUUUGGUUAUUUGAAAAUGAAAUAAUCUCCAGAAUAUCGCUAUUUUUAAAAGAAGUCAUAGAAAUGUGUUUUCAUUUUCAGUUUAAUGCACCAGAGAAGACAGAACAAAUAAUAUGACAAAUAUGGUGGUUAAACUUAAAUAUACUAAUUGAUAAAGAAAAGUACAUUUUUUGUCAAUUAUAUCAUGAAUAGGACUGGUGGAGUUAUGUCACACAUGAAGCUAACACAAAUAUAUGGAAAUGUCUGCUCUACCCAAAAUGACAACCUACCAAUUGCAGCAUUACCACAAAAAUGGAAGAGGCAAGUGGAAGGUGAAAAAAGUAAGGAACUUGUCUGCCGGCCCUGCAUUAAAAUUGGUUAAAGAACAUUUUGAUGAAUAAAAAAGUAUACCAGUUUACUUUAAGGACCAAAAAAAUGACAGGUGUGCCAUACAGACUGCAAAAUAGAAGAGAUUUUUGAGGUACUAAUUCCAUAUGGUUUACGGACUGAUACUCAAAACGACACCGGAUUCAAAACUUAGAACUUCAGAAUGUUUUUCUUUAAAUUAAAAUUUGUGGUCCUUUGUGGUCCUUCUGUAGCUCAGUUGGUAGAGCAUGGCGCUUGUAACGCCAGGGUAGUGGGUUCGAUUCCCGGGACCACUCAUACGUAGAAUGUAUGCACACAUGACUGUAAGUCGCUUUGGAUAAAAGCGUCUGCUAAAUGGCAUAUAUAUAUAUAUAUAUUAUACCAAAUUUUUGCAACCAGUAUAAUGUUUUAUAUAUGGGGAUACAAACAUAACUGCUCUGCAGAUUUAGCUGCGAAGAGACAAAAUCAUUAGUUUUGGUACUGUCCAUAUGUAGCUUGUUUUUGGUUGCAGGUUCAGGAAUGACUGAAGAAUUGCAACAUUUACCUGCAGCUAACUCUAGAGAUAGCACUAUUGGGUGAUUUGAAAAGUCAUAGUCAACCGAUCAAUAAUAUAGUAAUACUUUUAGCAAAAAUGUUUAUCUUUAAUUUACAAUCUGUAGAAACUAUGAGAAUACAAAGGUUCAGAAAUUUUGUGAAACAUCACAGCACAGUUGAAAAAUAUAUGACAAAUAGAAAUCCAAUAUGGAUGGUGUUAAGAGAUAGAUGGGAGGGGUUGAGAGGAGCUGAAGUGUGGGACUAAUAACAAGAUAACCAAUGUAAAAUAUACUGUGUACUUAAAAUGUCUAUAGGUUCAGAACUUUUGUGAAACAGCACAGUUAAAAAGAUAUGGCAAAUAGAAAUCAAACUGGAUGGUCUUCAGAAACAGAUGGGAGGGGUUAAGGGUAGCGGAAGGAUAUGAGUAAAAACAAACAAAAGAUAACUAUUGUAAAAUAGAUUGUGUCCGUAAAAUGUAUAUAGUAUGUAUAAGCUGGAAAUAGAAGCCUAAUUGUUGUUGUACCUUAGUUUACUCCAAUUAGGGAAGGGGUGGUAUGGUUGGAGGAAAAUAAUAAAGGAUGUUUUUUUUAAAAGAUGUAUAUAAUAUGUGUAUGUAUGUAUAAACGUAUGUAUGUAUGUAUGUAUGUAUGUAUGUAUGUAUGUAUGUAUGUAUGUAUGUAUGUAUGUAUGUAUGUAUGUAUGUAUGUAUGUAUGUAUGUAUGUAUGUAUGUAUGUAUGUAUGUAUGCAUGUAUGUAUGCAUGUAUGUGUAUAUUCAGUACCAGUCAAAAGUUUGAACACACCUACUCAUUCAAGGGUAAUUAGAUUUUUACGAUUUUCUACAUUGUAGAAUAAUAUAUGUAGACA